UGGGAGUUGAGAAAGGGAA
rnacentral:piRNA from 1 species